UUAAGGGUUAUGACGGGGAGAAGUACGUUGAUUUUUUCUUUGCAGGGAGAGAGGGUCGUGACUGGAAGCCCUCUUAAAGAAACUCUUCGGAAAGUUCGCCCCUGAACUGCCAUCUGAACGUAUGGGAUUCAUACCAGUAGGGUGCGCCGGUCCUUCUACCGUUAUCAGAAGUGGAUAAAUUGCUUAUUUAUCCUCUGAGUGGUUCUUUACAGCUUUUGUAGGAACAAAUUUGGGUGGUACCACGGAGACAUUCCGUCCCUGCU
rnacentral:ncRNA from 1 species